GUGAGGCUGGAGGAAAGAGGCUCUUCAGGGGACUUCCAGCUCAGCAAGGACUAGACCUGGCUCCUCCAGGAGGGAGCACCCAGAGGGAAAGAUUCAGGCCUGCAGUUCUGGAGUGUGGAGGGAACUAGCCACCGGUGGGGAGGAAAGAAAGGCACAGGGGAGGGUGGCAUGGUGAGAGGCUCAUGGGGUAAAGGCAACGGCCCUGGGACCAAGCUUGAUGACCUAAGUUUGGUCACAGGUUUCCCAAGGUGGAAUGAGAGAACCAACUCCUGAAAGUUGUCCUCUGAUCUCCACAAAUGCAUAAACUCACGCGCACACACACUUGAUAAUUCUAUGAAAAAAAAAAAUGUGUGUGGGGAGCAGGGAGUUUACCACACUCCAGGGUGGAGGCCGGCAGGCCAAACAGAAGAUAAGGGAAAGCUGGUGCUCUGGGGAAAGCUCUUACUUAGGUAGAAGGAGUGCAGAGUCUCAGCCAAGUUCUUUCUUGAUCCCUGAGUGAGGGGAGGCCUCAGGUCUUCCACACCCCCAGCCUUUCACCCCAGGUCUUCUGGGGGACAAGCAGGCCCAACCUGAAGCCUGGCUUGGUUGUUCCUCUGCUUUGGCAUGGAGGGACCAACCCCCACCUGUCAAGCUGUAAACCCCUAGGGAGGUGACCCCAGUGGAUGUUCCUGAAAGUGGGAGGGAGUGUGAAAACACCCCCAGUCUUUUCUGUGGAGCCCUCUGAGGGCUAAGGAUUGAGGCGCCUCCCAACCGCCAGCAUGCUAUAGUGAGCUGCAGUACAGCCCUACGUAUAGGCUUAACCAGGAAAUAUCUGGCCCAUACACAGUGUGGAACUAGAUCAAAGAGGGUAAGCCUACCCCAUUGAGAGGCACCGGGGAAUCCUAGCUUUUGGACUCUCCCAGUCACCUGAAGGCUUAGUGGGUCUCAGAUAGGAGGUGGUGUCCUGUGAAAAACCAAGCUCUUGCUUCGCAAAAGACCCUCCGCCCAGCCUAGCAGCUGCUGUCUUCAUCACCCAAACCCUGUUCUCCGACGGAAGAAGCCGGGCACCCCGUGGAAGCCUAGCUCAGGUGAAGGAUGGAGCCAUUCUCUCAAAAGAUGGGGGAGACCUUCUAAACCCUCUCUUAGCGUCGUCUCCAUGUCUCAGGGCCUCCAUUCUCUUUAGUGUACAAAGGGAGACCUGCUACUCACGCCGUGGGAAACAACUCCACAGAGUUCUACGGACUAAGCAGAGCUGCACAGAGCUGACUGAAAUGAUGCCGGUGUAGCUUGAAUCUAACAGGAGCUCCUGCAUCCGCCGGAGCCUCAGUUUCCUCAUCCGUAAGUGGAGUCGCGAGUUCUACUCUUAAUAUAUCAACCGAGGCGUUGGGAUGCUGCGAGCCAAGCGCAUGCCGGUUUGCAGGUCCCUGCGCAUCCUCGGCGGGCCCAUAACCCUGCAGGAUGGCGGCACAGGCGCAUCUCUCGGCCUGUACCCUUCUGACUCCCAGGUACAUCCUGCUCCUGAACUUAUAAGUGGCUCCCCUUCAGAGCUGCUGAGCUGUGCUCCCCACUCGACCGCAUAGCCUGCCCGCAGCCCGUGCCAUCUCGUACCUCGUGCUCCAGCUUGUGCAGAAGGCGGCCCCAUAGUCGCUCUGGGACUCCCGAGGCGCGCAGCGUAGGGCCGUGCAGCGACACGAACUCGUCCAGCAGCCGCGCGUUCAGCCUCUCGGCGCGGCCGGGACUGCCAGGCUGCGGCCCGGACUGGAUCUCCAUAGUGCUCGGAAGAGCACGGCGCCGCCCACCGCAGGAUUUAAGCGGACGGCGCGCACGCGCCUGCGUCCUGGGUUGCGAGGUUCCAAGAGUGCGCACGCGCGCUGGGGGCGUGUCUUCUCCAUUCAUCCCAGGACUGCCGCGAGGGAUUCUGGGAACGCUGCUUAGAAGCCCCAGAGAGUCAGAAUCAGGAGAGAUUGUCCUCAAGGAGCCGGUGAAGCUGAGAUGGGGAGGGGGUCGGGAAGAGGCAGAAGGUGCUCCCCCUUGCGCUGGUUGCAAUCUUGUUUCGCCUGAAUUUUUUUUUUAAUUUUAGUUUAAAAUUUUUAUUUUUUUAUUUUA